GUGCUCACUUUGGCCGCACGUAUACUAACAUUGGCCCAAGACAGAGAAGGUUAGUGUGGCCUGUGCACAAGGAUGAUGCCCA
rnacentral:snRNA from 1 species